rnacentral:rRNA from 1 species
CUUUACGGGAGGCAGCAGUGGGGAAUAUUGGACAAUGGACCGCAAGUCUGAUCCAGCAAUUCUGUGUGCACGAUGACGUUUUUCGGAAUGUAAAGUGCUUUCAGUCGGGAAGAAGUCAGUGACGGUACCGACAGAAGAAGCGACGGCUAAAUACGUGCCAGCAGCCGCGGUAAUACGUAUGUCGCAAGCGUUAUCCGGAUUUAUUGGGCGUAAAGCGCGUCUAGGCGGCAAGGAAAGUCUGAUGUGAAAAUGCGGAGCUCAACUCCGUAUGGCGUUGGAAACUGCCUUACUAGAGUACUGGAGAGGUAGGCGGAACUACAAGUGUAGAGGUGAAAUUCGUAGAUAUUUGUAGGAAUGCCGAUGGGGAAGCCAGCCUACUGGACAGAUACUGACGCUAAAGCGCGAAAGCGUGGGUAGCAAACAGGAUUAGAUACCCUGGUAGUCC